rnacentral:rRNA from 1 species
UACGGAGGGUACGAGCGUUGUCCGGAAUCACUGGGCGUAAAGGGCGCGUAGGCGGCGCGAGCAGUCGGCGGUGAAAGCCCGGAGCUCAACUCCGGGUCGGCCGUCGAUACUCUCGUGCUUGAGCACUGUAGAGGCAGGUGGAAUUCCGGGUGUAGCGGUGGAAUGCGUAGAGAUCCGGAAGAACACCGGUGGCGAAGGCGGCCUGCUGGGCAGUAGCUGACGCUGAUGCGCGACAGCGUGGGGAGCAAACAGG